AAGUCGUAACAAGGUUUCCGUAGGUGAACCUGCGGAAGGAUCAUUACCGAUUUUAGCGAGCCUGAUCUCUUUUGGUCAUGGUCUCGCGAAAACUUUGUAUUUAAAACCCCACUCUUAUGUAAAUGAAUCAUUUAUUAUUAUUAUUUAUUAAUAAAUAAAGAUCACUUUCAACAACGGAUCUCUUGGCUCUC
rnacentral:misc_RNA from 1 species